UGGGGAAUUUUGGACAAUGGGCGAAAGCCUGAUCCAGCAAUGCCGCGUGUGUGAAGAAGGCCUUCGGGUUGUAAAGCACUUUUGUCCGGAAAGAAAUCCUUGGCUCUAAUACAGUCGGGGGAUGACGGUACCGGAAGAAUAAGCACCGGCUAACUACGUGCCAGCAGCCGCGGUAAUACGUAGGGUGCAAGCGUUAAUCGGAAUUACUGGGCGUAAAGCGUGCGCAGGCGGUUUGCUAAGACCGAUGUGAAAUCCCCGGGCUCAACCUGGGAACUGCAUUGGUGACUGGCAGGCUAGAGUAUGGCAGAGGGGGGUAGAAUUCCACGUGUAGCAGUGAAAUGCGUAGAGAUGUGGAGGAAUACCGAUGGCGAAGGCAGCCCCCUGGGCCAAUACUGACGCUCAUGCACGAAAGCGUGGGGAGCAAACAGGAUUAGAUACCCUGGUAGUCCACGCCCUAAACGAUGUCAACUAGUUGUUGGGGAUUCAUUUCCUUAGUAACGUAGCUAACGCGUGAAGUUGACUGCCUGGGGAGUACGGUCGCAAGAUUAAAACUCAAAUGAAUUGACGGGGUCAUAGCUGUUUCCU
rnacentral:rRNA from 1 species